CCGCCCUUGUGUUGGGAAUUCCGGUGGGACGUACAGCUAGAAAAACACCUAUACAUUUUCUGCAUCACCAACUGAAUACAUUUAAAUUUCACUUAAUAUUUUUAAUCCUAUUAGUCUGUAUGUGAUACGGAGUAAGUGACAAAAGAGGAGUGGGAGUACAUUUAGCUUUCUGUCAGGUUAUGUUUCCUCUUUGGGUGUCAGAAUGUUAUUUACAUGCUGUUUUCUCAUUCCAGGAUCCUAUUCACAGCCAGGAAGUUUAUUCAUUUGCUUUUUUCCUGCAGUUACAUCAGCUCAUCUCUUUUCAGAUUCUUUUCACUCUCAGUAACAUGCAGAGGAUGAAGUGGUCAGUAUUCUGCUGGUUGGCGUUUUUUGUUUCUCUGGACAUGCUCUCUCAGAAUUGUUUUUCAGAAAAUGGCGCCUGUACAUCCUGUGCUGAAAAGUGUGGUGAAAGCAUGACUAACUGCUGUUUUCAGACUGUGUGGAACCCUGUGCAAAAUGGCACCAAUGAAGACCCCAUUGAGUAAAUAUUUUGACAUAUAUAUGCUUGUCUGAAUAUUUCUGUUUCUGUUUAUUUAUGACUGAUUUUUUAGUCUUUGUU
rnacentral:lncRNA from 1 species